CGAAGAGGAGAGCCAAAACCACCAGGCCAGUGUACAAGAAGAAGGCCCCUGGAAGAGAGAAUUACGUUUAUUUUCCUGUGAAGAAACAAUAAAUGCAGAGACAGCUGCUGGAACAUCUGGAGGCCACAGCCGACGAUGAGAGCCCUUCGAGUUGGACCAUGGUUGAGAAUCCUCAAAAUAACAAGACCUUCUGAGGAAAAAAUAAAUAACUGCACUUUUAUAUGGUUGUAUUCCUCAUCAACGCCUUCGUCCCCUCGGAUCUGAAUGAGAACCUGACGGGCCUCUUGGCUCCGGCCCUUCUGGAGGAGCCAACGGGGGCUUUCAGGCAAGAAGAAGAAGCCAAAAAAC